rnacentral:tRNA from 1 species
GCCUUGGUAGUUCAAUGGAUAGAACAGCGGACUUCUAAGCCGUUGAUAGUGGUUCGAUUCCACUCCGAGGCA